rnacentral:rRNA from 1 species
UACGUAGGGGGCAAGCGUUGUCCGGAAUCAUUGGGCGUAAAGCGCGUGUAGGCGCCAGGUAGGUCCGUUGUGAAAACUCGAGGCUCAACCUCGAGAUGUCGACGGAAACCAUCUGGCUAGAGUCCGGAAGAGGAGAGUGGAAUUCCUGGUGUAGCGGUGAAAUGCGCAGAUAUCAGGAAGAACACCCGUGGCGAAGGCAGCUCGCUGGGACGUUACUGACGCUGAGACGCGAAAGCGUGGGGAGCAAACAGG